UUUAGGUUGGAGCAGUUUUUCAACUGCAAAAUGCGAAAUGAGUUUCAACCAGCCGCAGCCGCGGCCCCGCCGUGAAGCUACCUACCCGCCCGCCGUCCGCGGCGGCCUCCUCUUCUGCUCCCGCCAUUUCCAUAUCCAUUCGUCUAGCUUCAAAACCCUAGCCAUUAAGAUCAAGAAGAAGUGCAUGUGAAAUUGCAAAGUUCAAAUUAACCUAUAGUGGCUUAGAUGCAAUUAUAACAAAUUCAAUUCUAUGUUUCAUGAUGAGAUUGUUAUAAGUUAUUGCUACUCAAAUUCUCAUCUUUAGUUCCUUCAUUUCCUAGUAAUGCAUAUAUAUGAUUUUGCACGCAGUAUGUGGAGUAAAUCAUGAUCUACUCUUUCUUCU